CCACCUGCAGUCGAGCGGAUGAAAGGAGCUUGCUCCUGGAUUCGCGGCGGACGGGUGAGUAAUGCCUAGGAAUCUGCCUGGUAGUGGGGGACAACGUUUCGAAAGGAACGCUAAUACCGCAUACGUCCUACGGGAGAAAGCAGGGGACCUUCGGGCCUUGCGCUAUCAGAUGAGCCUAGGUCGGAUUAGCUAGUUGGUGAGGUAAUGGCUCACCAAGGCGACGAUCCGUAACUGGUCUGAGAGGAUGAUCAGUCACACUGGAACUGAGACACGGUCCAGACUCCUACGGGAGGCAGCAGUGGGGAAUAUUGGACAAUGGGCGAAAGCCUGAUCCAGCCAUGCCGCGUGUGUGAAGAAGGUCUUCGGAUUGUAAAGCACUUUAAGUUGGGAGGAAGGGUUGUAGAUUAAUACUCUGCAAUUUUGACGUUACCGACAGAAUAAGCACCGGCUAACUCUGUGCCAGCAGCCGCGGUAAUACAGAGGGUGCAAGCGUUAAUCGGAAUUACUGGGCGUAAAGCGCGCGUAGGUGGUUCGUUAAGUUGGAUGUGAAAUCCCCGGGCUCAACCUGGGAACUGCAUCCAAAACUGGCGAGCUAGAGUAUGGUAGAGGGUGGUGGAAUUUCCUGUGUAGCGGUGAAAUGCGUAGAUAUAGGAAGGAACACCAGUGGCGAAGUAUUUG
rnacentral:rRNA from 1 species